rnacentral:rRNA from 1 species
GCGAGAAAACUGGCCAAUGCGCGAAAGCGUGAGCCGGCUAGUCCGAGUGAUAGCCCAUCGGCUAUCUUUUGUUAAGUGUACAAAGCUUGGCGAAUAAUGAGAGGGCAAGACUGGUGCCAGCCGCCGCGGUAAAACCAGCUCUUAGAGUGGUGAUCAUGUUUAUUUGGCUUAAAGUGUGCGUAGCAGGACAGCGUAAGUCCCCU